ensembl:lncRNA LINC00320 long intergenic non-protein coding RNA 320
UUGAAAGCUGAAUCAUGAGGAUACCAUCUCCAAGCAGGUGGAGUAUUUGAUCCCUUUAGCAAGGCAGUGAUUUUGAAAUUCGGGUUUAGACAAAAAGAUAUUUCAAGCUCCUGAAGAACAAGUUUGAAGGAUUCAGAGCAGAGAAUUGCACCCUGGCAUGAUGCCUAUGCCAGCUGGACUGUGUGAUUUUUGUUCUUUAGUAGAAGGAUAACAUGACAUAGCAGGAAUAAUACUGCCUUUUCUUUCUGGCAUGGAUCAAGAGAAAAGAAAAUACAAGAAAACAGACAGAAGCAAGGCAAGGUACUUCUAUGGAAGGGUGAGCCCUCACAGAUGGAGCAAUGGGGCGCGCACACCUGAACAAGGGAGGGGAAGGAGUUCUUAUCCCUGAUGCAUGUGACCCCUGCUGCUGUGUCCUUCCCCUAUUGGCUAAGGCUUCUGACAGCUUUGGAGAUUGUGACAUUGGAAUAAAGGAAAAACGUACAGGACUCAUGAAGCGCUGAAAUGUUCACAAAUAUCAAGCAAAAGUCAAUGAAAUUUAUUUUGAGCUAUUUACAUCAUUUAAUAAUUGAGCAAGGUAUACUCCUAUGAACAAAAUUUGGAGCAUGUUUGUCUCUCUCUGCCUGGCGUCUUCAGAAUUUGGAAACUAGUUAUGGUUUAUAAUCAGCUAUAGAAUUUUAACACGUGCUCUCAAAUGCAAGUUUCUGAUAACUUUGGAGAUUGUGACAUUGGAAUAAAGGAAGAGCUGGAAUGUUCAUGAAUAUCAAGCAAAAGUCAUGGAAAUUUAUUUUGAGCUAUUUACAGCAUUUAAUAAUUGAGCAAGGUAUACUCCUAUGAACAAAAUUUGGAGCAUGUUUGUCUCUCUCUGUCUGCCUGGCAUCUACAGAAUUUGGAAACUAGUUUCGUUCCCAGAUUUCCUAAACUUUCCAGAGAAAAUGGUCUUCUCCCUGGCUCAGCAAGAAGAUGAACUUUAAACACUGAGAAACUGGUCAUCUCCCUGGCUCAACCAGAAGAUGAACUUUAAACACUACUCUCAAUGACUUGAUGUUCCCAUCACUACUCCUGUCAUAAAGGGAGGGGACUCAGAUAUUGAGAAUUUUAUGAUAGUGUGAACUGUCUGGUAUGUCAUUUAAGUAAGCCCGUUGCUGAAAUAUUUUCCAUGUUAUUAGAAAGAGCUGAAGAGAGGGAUUGAGAUGGCUUCUUUAUUUUUUGUCUUUUGGGAAUUAAAGGAACCUGGUUCAACAAGGGCCUACACCUAAGUCUCUUGUUGUACCAGAGUACAAUUUAGGACUGCUCCUGAGGAAGGAAUUAGCUAGAAAUCUAGAGAGUAAGGGUAACAGAUUUACAUAGAAUAACAGCCUCAGUAUUUUUGGUUCCUCUCCAGUAAAGAUCACAAAGAAUAUUGCUAAAUCGCUAAAACACCUUUGCAAUAACGUAAGGGCUUACAACUAUAUACCAAUGUAGCUCAGUUACUAAACUGGAGUAAACUAAUUUCUCUUGUGUAGAAAAAUUGGUUGGCUGUGGUUUUAUAGCAGAUCUGCAAUUAUUAAUAGUUAUGCCAAUAAUCGUUUAACAGUGCAUAUGUUAAUAUAUAUGGAAAGACAAUGUGUAUAGACAGAUGUGUAAAAUUGAAAAAUAAACAUAUAACAAGAGAGAAACAUCUAUCGAACAGACAAUAUACAUACACAUCAAACACAACAGCAGUUUUAGUGACCAUAAUAUUUAUUUCUCAUUUUUACAUUGCUUACUUUAGUGACAACUGAAAAUGACAGUUGGCAAUGCAGCUAACAGUUUCAAUAAAAGUAUAAAACAAAAGACUGUGUACAAAGCACCUGUCUUUCCGCUUUUGUAAUCUUCCGUUGGAAAAAAUUUACACACCUAAGUAACCAUCUGUUUUCUUCAAGAAAAAAUCAUUCUUAUUUCUCUCUCUCAUCUUGAAAACAGCUGUCAGCCAGGAGGGCAGAGCUGAAAUUUAUUGCCACAUCACAUGAAGCAUAGAACAGACUCCACUACUCCUUGAGAUUCAAAACUUUGCCUCUCACAAAGUUACCUUUUAUUUUCCUCUUGUUUGUCACUCAUCUCCCCUAGUGUGCUCUUUUUAUUUCUUUUACUAUUAAUAAUAAAAUCUGUGGAUGACUGUAUUAUUGAAUGAUUACCUUAGUACAAUAAUUCAAGAAGUAUUUGAAUAUUGCAUCAUUGGCUUUAGAAAACAAGUAUUUAUAGGCCAUUUCAACUUC